GGUGUUGUUAAUAGCAGCAUCAUUUGACGUUAGCGACAGAAGAAGCACCGGCUAACUCCGUGCCAGCAGCCGCGGUAAUACGGAGGGUGCGAGCGUUAAUCGGAAUUACUGGGCGUAAAGCGCAUGCAGGUGGUGGAUUAAGUCAGAUGUGAAAGCCCGGGGCUCAACCUCGGAACCGCAUUUGAAACUGGUUCACUAGAGUACUGUAGAGGGGGGUAGAAUUUCAGGUGUAGCGGUGAAAUGCGUAGAGAUCUGAAGGAAUACCGGUGGCGAAGGCGGCCCCCUGGACAGAUACUGACACUCAGAUGCGAAAGCGUGGGGAGCAAACAGGAUUAGAUACCCUGGUAGUCCACGCCGUAAACGAUGUCUACUUGGAGGUUGUGGCCUUGAGCCGUGGCUUUCGGAGCUAACGCGUUAAGUAGACCGCCUGGGGAGUACGGUCGCAAGAUUAAAACUCAAAUGAAUUGACGGGGGCCCGCACAAGCGGUGGAGCAUGUGGUUUAAUUCGAUGCAACGCGAAGAACCUUACCUACUCUUGACAUCUACAGAAUCCUGCGGAGACGCGGGAGUGCCUUCGGGAACUGUAAGACAGGUGCUGCAUGGCUGUCGUCAGCUCGUGUUGUGAAAUGUUGGGUUAAGUCCCGCAACGAGCGCAACCCUUAUCCUUGUUUGCCAGCACGUAAUGGUGGGAACUCCAGGGAGACUGCCGGUGAUAAACCGGAGGAAGGUGGGGACGACGUCAAGUCAUCAUGGCCCUUACGAGUAGGGCUACACACGUGCUACAAUGGCGCAUACAGAGGGCAGCAAGCUAGCGAUAGUGAGCGAAUCCCAAAAAGUGCGUCGUAGUCCGGAUUGGAGUCUGCAACUCGACUCCAUGAAGUCGGAAUCGCUAGUAAUCGUAGAUCAGAAUGCUACGGUGAAUACGUUCCCGGGCCUUGUACACACCGCCCGUCACACCAUGGGAGUGGGCUGCAAAAGAAGUGGGUAGUUUAACCUUUCGGGGAGGACGCUCACCACUUUGUGGUUCAUGACUGGGGUGAAGUCGUAACAAGGUAGCGCUAGGGGAACCUGGCGCUGGAUCACCUCCUUAUACGAAGAU
rnacentral:rRNA from 1 species